GUGCUUUCUCUCCAGUGCUUUCUCUCCAGUGCAGGCAUUGACUCAUGCUAAGGAAUGUAUUCCAUUACAGCUUUGCUGGCUUGCACUGGAACUUCAUGUAGAACCAGUUAGUUGCUGUGGUGACAGAAGCCAACAAACAGAAAAAAAAAUCGUGAACUCCUUCAGGACUGACCAGAGCAGCUUAAUGACAGCAUCCAUGCUUAAAAGUUAUUCUUGGAGAACUGAGGACUGCUUCAAGCAACUUUCCUUAUGCCAAGAUCAGCAAAACUGCAUCUUACUGAAGCAAGUUCCAGCUGUCAGCUGACAUGAUGAUCUCAGCUGUUCAAUGACUUUGUUUGGCAGUAUAAUUUUCAGACAUGUAACAGAGUUGUCUUUUGUCCCUUUUAUUUGUUUAUUUGUGGCCAUGGCCAUGAUCAUUUUCCAUCCCAAGAACCCAAUAUAAUCUGCUGCAUCUCCAAUCCAUUUCCAUUUGAAUAGACCUUUCUGAAAAGAGAGUAAUAAAUAAAACCCCUCUUAAGACUUAGUAAAUCUU
rnacentral:lncRNA from 1 species